UUGUGCCAGCAGCCGCGGUAAUACGAAGGGGGCUAGCGUUGCUCGGAAUCACUGGGCGUAAAGGGCGCGUAGGCGGCCAUUUAAGUCGGGGGUGAAAGCCUGUGGCUCAACCACAGAAUUGCCUUCGAUACUGGGUGGCUUGAGUCCGGAAGAGGUUGGUGGAACUGCGAGUGUAGAGGUGAAAUUCGUAGAUAUUCGCAAGAACACCGGUGGCGAAGGCGGCCAACUGGUCCGGAACUGACGCUGAGGCGCGAAAGCGUGGGGAGCAAACAGG
rnacentral:rRNA from 1 species